UACGAAGGGGGCUAGCGUUGCUCGGAAUCACUGGGCGUAAAGCGCGCGUAGGCGGGUCCUUAAGUCAGGGGUGAAAUCCCGGAGCUCAACUCCGGAACUGCCUUUGAUACUGGGGAUCUUGAGUCCGGAAGAGGUGAGUGGAACUCCGAGUGUAGAGGUGAAAUUCGUAGAUAUUCGGAAGAACACCAGUGGCGAAGGCGGCUCACUGGUCCGGUACUGACGCUGAGACGCGAAAGCGUGGGGAGCAAACAGG
rnacentral:rRNA from 1 species